rnacentral:snRNA from 1 species
GUGCUCGCUUCAGCAGCACAUAUACUAAAACUGGAACGAUACAGAGAAGAUUAGCAUGGCCCCUGCGCAAGGAUGACACACAAAUUUGUGAAGCAUUCCCUAUUUUU